GACGAACGCUGGCGGCGCGCUUAACACAUGCAAGUCGAACGGAAAGGCCUGCUUUCCCUUGUGGAUUGCGGGUACUCGAGUGGCGAACGGGUGAGUAACACGUGAGUGAUCUGCCCCCAACUUGGGUAUAAGCCUGGGAAACUGGGUCUAAUUCCCGAUAGGACUGCAGGGUGGUGCCUGUGGUGGAAAACGAUUUUCUAGUGGUUGGGGAUGAGCUCGCGGCCUAUCAGCUUGUUGGUGGGGUAAUGGCCUACCAAGGCGGCGACGGGUAGCCGGCCUGAGAGGGUGGACGGCCACAUUGGGACUGAGAUACGGCCCAGACUCCUACGGGAGGCAGCAGUGGGGAAGAUUACACAAUGGGCGGAAGCCUGAUGCAGCGACGCCGCGUGGGGGAUGACGGCCUUCGGGUUGUAAACUCCUUUCGACCGCGAGGAAGCCACCUGGUUGGAAGGGUGGUGACGGUAGUGGUAGAAGAAGCACCGGCUAACUACGUG
rnacentral:rRNA from 1 species